UCUGGGGCGGCGUUCUCUCUUUCCCCUGCUGCGGGUGGUCGGCUCCGCUCGCACGAUCGAAAGAAAUGGAAGAGGAAGUCGAGGAAAGGGAAGCCGAAUGGCAGUUCAGGCAUUGCGCUUGAUCUCCUUCAAGUUGAGGAAGGAGUGGGAUUUCUCAGUGGACCCCUGCAGCGGGAGGCAAGGGUGGUUGGAACCCACAGGUUCCUUCGCGAAAGCCAGCAACGUCACUUGCCGCGGCAACACCACGUCCAAUAUUUGUCAUGUGACUAGCCUAUGCAGCCUACUCAAGAGUCAGAUCACUGGAGUUCUUCAAGAGAUCUUGCAUGGAACUAUCUCAGUGGAUCCAUUCCAGCUGCCUGGGCUUUGCUUGCUCUCACGCUUCUGUAGUUUAUGUCUCCCCAUUUGUUGCUUUAAAAGAAGAUUCACCGGCAGAAAAAUAAAAAUAGAGAGUCUUGUAAAUGACAAUAUUGCAAAUAACUCUGUUCUGCAGAUCUCUUCUGGGAAAUCGGAUCUCAGGGAGCAUCCAGAGGAGCUUGGAAGAAUUACGACCCUUCAGUCCCUAGACAUACAGGGGACUUCGAUGCUGGGGCUCUUUCCUCCUAUCUUCUCCACAUUGGUAUCUCUAAUGCAACUGAAAGUCUCUCACUCGAAAGGAGAUGGGAAGUUCCCAGUGCUGCAAAUUAUAGAGAACUUGGAAGUACAGUAUGAUGCAGCGUGUUAAUCAAUAUCUGGUGAACUCCCAGAUUUUAUUGGGAGAUGCCUAAUCUUGACCAUUUGCAAGGAUAUCCAGAAAUUCACUUGGUGACUUUACCUUCAUUAGUCAUUUGGGUUAUAUUUCAAACUAUAUGAUUUUAAUUCCACAAUCUGCUACUAUGAAUAUUUGUUAUACUAUCAAUUCAUUAACAUCGGUGUAAACCUUUUGUAUCUUUUGUAUGCUUUAUGUUUCUCUUGUAGAGAUCUAAGAUUUAACAAUCUCAGUGGUCCAAUUCCAAGAAGUGCGGUGAUGGACUGACAACAAUAAGCUUUAUGUAAGCAGAUUAGAUCGACAUAGUCAUAUGCAUACCAUGAAGUAAUAACCAGUGACUUGAUGGAGAAAGAUUCAGUCUAGGUUCCUUUUUUAUUACAAUCACUGCAACUUUCUAACUAUUAUUUUCAAUUUUUCAUUAAUUUGUUUCAUAUCCACUUUACUUUUCUCAUCUAGGUACCUUACCAGUAACAUGUUUAAUGGAACACUGCCUAAUUGGAUCUUGAGCAAGCAAAAAAAAAUUGCAUGUCAUACUUACUGUGUGCUUUUUAAGCUGCAUAUUAUUUGCUUAUGAAUUAUCAUUCUCCAAUCGUAAUUCCAUCUCCAUCAUUUUAUGAAAUUCAAAAUUUCAGGGAUCAUUCUUAGAACUCUUUUACAGGACCCUUGAAUAUAUCCGGCUGUCAAAUAAAAGAUGUGGGUGGAUUAACAAAUUCCUUACUCGCCCUUGAUCAAUUGUUUUUAGUUAGUGAUUUGUCUAUUCUUAAGGAUUAACAAAUUCCUUACUCGCCCUUCAUGUUUAGGAAGGAACCUGCCCUGUCCUGGGGACCUUGAUGUAUAGGGGACUUGCUAAGUUUUUUUUCCCCUCUUCACAAUAAUAUUUUGAAUAUUUUAUUUCAUAUUGGUAUGAUAUAAUAUGUCAAAAUAUCUAAUCAAAAGCAUAUUUGUGAUUGACUAUUCCCCUUGUCUUGCUAUCACUAUUGAUUGCACCUUGUUCAUCAAUUGGGUGGCAGUAAGGUGACUUUUGAUAAUAAUGAGUACGCGCGUAUACAUUAGAGUCUGGUCCAUCAAACUAUGCCGUCUCUGAUAGUGGAAAUGAGCUUAUAGCAGUACAGGAGAUUUUUUAUGAAACAGCCAAGCAAAAUACAUUGUUAGGAAUGCAUUGGUGCAAAAUGUGGCCAAUUUGAAAACUGUACAUGACUGCUCGUAGAAACCCUCUCUCUCGCGCAAAUACUAUGGUCUUUGCCUACAGAAGUGAUACAGUACAUGCAAUCAUCACUUUGCUGAAUCAUGUAUACAGAUGACCAUGCAUAUUCCAGUGUUGGAAAGUGCUUAUUUGAUGUAUCAAUACAGGUUAUUGCUUCUGCUUUUGCAUAUUUAGGUUCAUUCAACUCUGUGUAUCUAUGGGAUACUGUAAUUAGCAUUAAAAAUAAUGAUUCUUGGAUCGAAAAACCUGUAAUUAAGCUGGGUCAAAAGGUUUUACAAGACACCCUUUUGCAAAGGAGCAAAUGAGUAAAAAAUUAUUGAGUCAUGUACUACUACGGUACAUGGUACUGUGGAAAGUCGCUUUCAGUAGGCUGGCAAGGACAAAAGCUUUCCACAGUUCGCGGUAUAUGGACCUCUUAUAUCAGCUAUUUCAGUUACACCAAGCUCGCUCUUAAAAACACUUUUUCUCAUUUUCUUUUGAAAUGCUCGUGGUAAUGAAGUCUCAUCAUUUCUUCAUGGUAGACAUCGUGCCUCGUGCAAAAGAAACCGAGCUAUCUGUUCUAGCUAUUUUGGGCAUCAUUGUUGCUUGUUGCGUCAUAAUUGCUCUGAUGUUUAUCCUGAUUUGAUUUUGCUUCAUAAGGAAAUAGGCUAAGAACCAUGGACCUGUAUGCUUUUCCGGAGUGCAGCUAGUAGACUGCUGCUUUGGUGUCACCUUCUGGAAUCUAUAACAUGACCUUCAAUGAGGACCUUCUAGGAUCUUAUGCUUUUCCCCGGAGUACCACAAACCUCUUGAGAUAACAUGGCCAACAUGACCGUCCGAAGAUAUUUAACAACAUUUGAAGAUUUUGUUGGUCCGCAAUCUCAGUUUUUGUUAUCUAGCUUGAGUUAAGCCAUAACUCAUCACAUUUAGUUAUAAAUCUUAAAAUAUUUUCUGUACAAUACUGUUCAGCAGUAGCCUGAAUAGCCCUACAAGAAUCAUCACAAAGUAUUGUUUGAA